GUCUAUGGUCAUGCCACCCUGAACAAGCCCGAUGUCUAAUCUCGGAAGCUAAACAUGGUCAGAUAUGUUUACUAUUUGGAUGACAGACCACCUAGGAAGACUAGGUGCUGUAGGCA
rnacentral:rRNA from 1 species